UACGAAGGGGGCUAGCGUUGCUCGGAAUCACUGGGCGUAAAGGGCGCGUAGGCGGCCUGAUCAGUCGGGGGUGAAAGCCUGUGGCUCAACCACAGAAUGGCCUCGAUACUGUCAGGCUUGAGACCGGAAGAGGUAAGUGGAACUGCGAGUGUAGAGGUGAAAUUCGUAGAUAUUCGCAAGAACACCAGUGGCGAAGGCGGCUUACUGGUCCGGAUCUGACGCUGAGGCGCGAAAGCGUGGGGAGCAAACAGGG
rnacentral:rRNA from 1 species